CUACCAUGGCGUUUACGGGUAACGGAGGAUUAGGGUUCGAUUCCGGAGAGGGAGCCUGAGAAACGGCUACCACAUCUAAGGAAGGCAGCAGGCGCGUAAAUUACCCAAUCCUGACUCAGGGAGGUAGUGACAAGAAAUAACGGACCGGUUCCUUCGGAUUCGGGAUUGCAAUGAGCCGAAUUUACACCCCUUAGCGAGGAUCGAUUGGAGGGCAAGUCUGGUGCCAGCAGCCGCGGUAAUUCCAGCUCCAAUAGCGUAUAUUAAAGUUGUUGCAGUUAAAAAGCUCGUAGUUGGAUUUCUGGGAGGGUGCCAAUGUCCGUCGUCGUACGUGUUGCAGCGGCGCCCUUCCAUCCUUCUGUUAACGACUUUGGGCAUUCAUUUGCUGGAGUCGGGCUCAGAUAUUUUACCUUGAGAAAAUUAGAGUGUUUCAGGCAGGCUAAGCCGGAAUACAUUAGCAUGGAAUAAUGGAAUAGGACUACGGUCUCUUUGUUGGUUUGAGGGACUGCAGUAAUGAUUAAUAGGGAUAGUUGGGGGCAUUAGUAUUUAAUUGUCAGAGGUGGAAUUCUCGGAUUUGUUAAAGACUAACUUAUGCGAAAGCAUUUGCCAAGGAUGUUUUCAUUAAUCAA
rnacentral:rRNA from 1 species